CAGAACCCUCUGGAUUUAAUUUGGUACAAAUUACACUUGGCAUUUCCUCCAAGAAAUUCAGCAGACAUUCUGCUUUGGGAAUCUGUAGAAAACUGUCUGAUUCAAUUUCCUUGGAAUUUUAGAUCACUGUUAAGCUCCUGGGAUCAGAGGCCAGAUGGAUUUCUUGUCUAAAUGAAGAGAAGCAGCUCUUCCCCAUGGAUGACCAUCAAAAAUCAUAAGGUGUUUCAGGAUGUCACGGUCUUUGAUGUCUUCUUCUCAAGCAAGUUAUCAAUGGUGGGUCUGAGAAGCAUAUAUCAAAAUCAUUUGGGCAACUUUUUCAAACUACAGUUAACUUACUCCAGAAAUGUUAAUGUGGCUCUGAGAGCUGAGGACAAGUGAUU